ACUUACUUUUGGAAUCCCAGCUCUGUCUGAACAUCUUUUUCUCCUGUGGUUUCAGUUGUUUCCUGAUGUGCUUUACUGUGAAGCCUGAUGUAUCCCAGCAGUGCAGAGGCCAACAGAUCUCAGUCUGUCUGGUUAGAAGAUACUCUGAGGAGCUGGAAGCAGUCAGUGUUAGUAGAAAUCUGCUUAGAAACUGCAGUAGUAUCUGUAAGAGAACAGGCAAAUCUGCUACAGCAAAGGUAUGCACUGAUAUGAUUUGUCGUAGAGGAGUUUCACAGCAGUUUAGUAAUUUUUCUGUAUCACCCAUGAAGCCUUGGUAGCUCAGGGAUAGCAGAGUGCCAUGUUAGCUUGUGUUCUACCUAAAUAUUUUCCAGUCUUUGUUUUCCAGACCAAUACUCUAUGUCCUGUGCCAUCAGCCUUCCAGGGAGAUGGGCAACAAUGGUCCUACUAGAAAGUUAGAAGUCUGGCAAUUCUGAGGAUCAGGAGUUUUUCCUUAGCUGAAAAUAUCAGAGGUGUCAGCCUACAAGCCUGGCUCCUCCCCGCGUCUCUCUAUUAACAUUUCAAAACCCAAAUAAUCUCAUUUUUAGGAAGGAAAUUGGAGCUGGAUUUUGAUAUUUGGAGAAUAGCACAUUAGGUUUGUGUAUUCUCCAUCCAUGUUUAUUUUAAAUAUUGUGAGUUAUUAGAAUGAAAAUUAAGUUUUAUUUGAAGAAAGUUUUCUUUUUUUUCCAGUCUGUCUGAAUGAAGGUGAGGAGUGGUUUAUAAUAUUGAAUGUGUCCAAAGUAUGUGACUGCUCUAGGCUAGCAAACAGCUUACUGUGAGAUGGAUAAGAGGAUGCGUUUGCCACCACAAUACUUAGCAGAAGGACAGCUGGAGAUUUAGCUGAUGAAAUAGCUAUUCUGGAUAAACAAAGAUGGUACAAGACAGAGGGAAGAGUGAGGUGACCAUCAGGAGAGGAUAGAGAAGAUCUCCUUAGGAAUCCAAGGUGCAGUGGGUCCAGAGAGUAAGAGCUGGGGUAAGAAGAGACUGAUUUCAUUAAACUGGAACAUGUUGCUAAAAAUGGCUCAAAACCCAUAGAGAGAUGCAGUGCCUCGUUUGGUGAGAGGGCAUUCCAUGAAUUUCACCAUUCCCCUGAGAUUCCUAGGCUCCAGGGUUUGUCUGCUUUAUAGGGUUUUAGAGAAAGUAAAAUUCUGAUCAGUUGCCAAGGAGUAAUUUUAUCAUGAGGUCUCUUUCCUCAAUAGGGCACCGUUUUUUUGUGUGUGCAAGUAAAUGCACUUAGAAUUUUGUUCUGUGCUUUCUUUUGGAUUGGCAAUAUCUCAGAGUUCUGUGCAAGCUUGAACUGCUUUUGAAUGGAGCCAAGUGAGAUGAGAAGGAGAUGAGGUGAGCCUGACACUGUUUUUACAGAGAGCAUGGUAGGACAGUUGGGGUACUGUAGACAGAAAGGACUUGCCACUGGUCCUAGCUGGUGCUAGCAAGCUUAUUGUGCAGACAGGUUUGAGAGUUGCAUGGAGUGCUCUGAAUCUUUGAUCUUUCUUUGAAAAGAAGCUCUGGGAGAUGCUGGAGGGUACAGGAAAGUCUCUAAGGUGCGGAAAUAGACUGAGGUGUUAGGGUUUGAUGGGAAAUCUCGAUGUGGAAGGAAGAUUUGUAGGGUAUGUGUUUGGGAGGAUAUCAUGGGAGCAGGAAUGUGCUGGGAAGAGCUGAGGUUUGCACUGAUGGCCUCAGAGGAGUGGGGAUGGCUGAAUAAGGACUCUGGAAGGGAUUUAUAGUCUUAUGGCUCUCCUGGGUCACUGCAGAGGGGCAGCCUUGCCCUGAUAACUGCAGAGGGUUGGCUUAGUGUGGUUUAUAUGUGACUGAGGAAGAGGUGUUUUUUUCUGGAUUAUCUCAUUUUUAGAUGCAUUGUCUCAUUUCAUAAGCACAGUCAGGUGAAAUGAGCCCUUCUGCUUCAUGAGCAUCACCCCCCCACACACCAUCCUACCCCCUAAAAAAAUCAAUUCAGCCGUGCUUUGUGGGAAGGACAAGCAUACUGUAACAGCUGUGAUGCAUUGAAACUGUAGAAUACUCUCUAGAGGUGUUUGGUACAUUAGCUGCCUAAUAGUUCUCUCCUGAUUUGUUCUGGGCAUCAGUCUGCUCUGAGGCAGACCAAGGAGCUUUGUCUUCCUGGCCCUGAGCUUCUGACCUUUUUUACAGUAAAACACAUCAAGAGUAACUAAAAUGACACCAGUUCCUGAUUUGCACAAGGCAACUAAACCCUAAAUGAGGCAGUGUUC
ensembl:lncRNA